GAUGAACGCUGGCGGCGUGCCUAAUACAUGCAAGUCGAACGAACGGACGCGAAGCUUGCUUCUUUGUUGUUAGCGGCGCACGUGUGUGUCACACGUGGAUCAUCUACCUAUAAGACUGGGAUAACCUCGGGAAACCGGCGCUUAUACGGGAUAAUCUUUUGCUCCGCAUGGUUCAAUGGUAAAAUUCGGCCUUGCUGUCUCUUCUAGCUGCUUCCGCGCUGCAUUAGCUAGUUGGUACGGUCACGGCCUAUCACGGCAACGAUGCCUAGCCGACCGGAGAGAGUGGUCGGCCACACUGGAACUGAGACACGGUCCAGACUCCUACGGGAGGCAGCAGUAGGGAAUCGGCCGCAAAAGGCGAAAACCUGACGGAGCAAGGCCACGUGAGUGAUGGAGGUCUUCGGAUCGGAAAACUCGGUUAUUAGUGAAGAACAUAUGUGUAAGGAACUGUGCACAGCGUGACGGUACCUAGUCAGAAAGCCACGGCUAACUACGUG
rnacentral:rRNA from 1 species